rnacentral:rRNA from 1 species
GAUGGACGCUAGCUACAGGCUUAACACAUGCAAGUCGAGGGGUAACGAGAGGAAAGCUUGCUUUCCUUGUCGACGACCGGCGCACGGGUGAGUAACGCGUAUCCAACCUGCCCCCAACUAAGGAAUAACCUUGCGAAAGUAAGACUAAUACCCUAUAAUUUCCUCAGAUGUCAUCUGACGAGGAAUAAAGAUUUAUCGGUUGUGGAUGGGGAUGCGUCUGAUUAGCUGGUGGGCGGGGUAACGGCCCACCAAGGCAACGAUCAGUAGGGGUUCUGAGAGGAAGGUCCCCCACAUUGGAACUGAGACACGGUCCAAACUCCUACGGGAGGCAGCAGUGAGGAAUAUUGGUCAAUGGGCGGAAGCCUGAACCAGCCAAGUAGCGUGCAGGAUGACGGCCCUAUGGGUUGUAAACUGCUUUUAUACAGGAAUAAAGUUAGCCACGUGUGGUUAUUUGUAGGUACUGUAUGAAUAAGGACCGGCUAAUUCCGUGCCAGCCGCCGCCGUAA